ACUGCACGAAACUAACUCGAUAGUUUUUAUUUUGCUUCUUGAUACACACACUUUCUGCCAACACCCUACGGAGCCGGCAAGUCCUGUGACAGGCUUUCCUUGUACUUGCCUUGAUUCUCACUGUGCUCUCAUCACGUCGUGGAUCUGAAGUUCUGUGCUCAUGAGUCAUCGUGAGCAUUCUACAUGGCUGCGGCAGCAAGGGCCGGUGUGGGGUAAGAAUAUUGUAUGCAUCCUCUCUGCACAGGGGCAUACUCCAUUGAUCCACCAGUUCAGAGAUAAAAUGUUUAAAAGUUUCAAACAGCAACAACACAGGGUGAACCCGAGCUCAGGGAUUCUCUGGGCAUACAGCCCUCAGGCUCCUCGAUCCUGAAGCUGGCCCUGUUUGCAGUCAGACCUCCCUCUGCCUCUAGCCUCUGGCCAUCACUGAUCUGUUUUCUGUCCCUACAGUUUUGCCAUUUCAAGAAUGCAACGUAAAUGAAUCACACAGUAUAUAACUUUCUAACUUUCGAGUCUGGCUCCUUUCAUGUAGCAUUUGCCUCUGAGGUUCAUCUUUGUUGCAGCAUAUCAGCACUCCAUUGUGUGGGUGUACACAGUUUAUUUCUCCUCCCCGGUGGACGGACAGCCUUAAUCUUAGCACUGAGGGGUGUGCCUGUUCUUUGAAUUUUCAGGUUAAUCAGAAUUUUUUUUUUUUGAGGCAGAUCUUGGUUGCAGCAGCCCGAUCCAGUUCCUUUGACCAUAAGCCCUCUCUCCUUUAUGGCAAUGGUAGGUGAGGAGGAAAAUAACAUGCAAGUGAAGCAAACAGUGAACUCCCAGCCCAGGAAGGUCUGGGAAGGAGUGGGGAAGGGUAUACUACAGGAAAGAUCAUAAAACAAACAGGAAGAAUGCGCGUUAUGUAUGAAAGGGUUACCUUGCUCAUCAUGCUCGAAGGAAUGCCGACUUCUUACUUUUCCAGUUGAAUUUGUUCUUAGAAUAAAUCCAUAGAUCUGAAUCUACAUUGGAGAGAUUGGUCUACUCUAGCCCUAUGCUUUAAAGAAAAUUCUGGAAAUCAGGAAUGCAGACCCAUCACUGCCCUGGCACCCUGAGCAGGCAGCGUUCAGAGCACUCCAGUUAGUUCUUGCUGGGCUGGCUCUCUGGGUCGUGUCUUACCUGGAGGGUUGGACCCACCCAGAACAGGAAGUAGCACAGAGAGUCAUGCACCACGUCUAGAGCAUUAAACAGGACUCAGUUGGCUGAUGCAUUAAGCUAAACCUGUUUAGGUGGCCUCGAGGGUUUAAAGAUGUUGCUGAGGCUGUCAGCGGCUGUCGGCAGCCCCUCAGCUCUCGCGUUACUUUGCUCCACGGGCUUCCUCUUGCAAACCCCGUGGCUCUGCCUACUAGAGCAUGCUUGGCAUGUGUGCAGGGCUGGUCACACGUGGUGGCGGUUAGUCCUCAGUGAAAUGAUGGACAACUGUGGUGUGGUUUGUGCAGUCUCUCGGAGGCCCCCAGCGGGGCUGAGCUCCAGUUGCCCACAGCGGACAUCUUCACACUCCCUGUGCUGCCUCUUUUCCCUGCUUUGUCUCACUUCCCCACUCCCUGGGAUGACCUCCUAAAAGAACUAUUUGCACUGGAAUCUUUGUCUCCCGGACAGCUGAAGAGGUUAAGCUCCUACAUAGGAGGCCAGUGUAUUGUGACAUCAGAGCCUUCUUUGUCUACCAGCCAGGUCUCUGCUCAGAUGGCAUCGUGGACACUCUUUAUGAGAACCUACCUUGCAGUGCUGUAGCUGCCGUCUGCUUGUGCUUUGGCUCCUAAGCGCAUGGUUAAGGAAAUACUCAGCUUUCAGGGUUUUUGUUUGUUUUAUCACGAGUGAAAUUCCUGGCACAGAGCAGGGAUCCAAUGUCAUUGCUGUUACUGUUGAUGAAGAUGAAAUGGUGAUCAAGACUAAAGAAGGUGAAGAAGACUAACGGUGAUGAAGAUAAAGAUGACACUGGGAAUGUAUGAUCCUAACCAGAGCUGGCGGAAGAAGCCACACUGAGCUCUUAGUCAUCUCAGCAUGUGCCUUGGAAGUUUUGUUUAUUGGUAUUUUCCCCCCUCGUGGGUUUUUUCUGAGCUGGCUGGGGAAGGGGUAGAGUUGUCAGCGUGGGUGUCCGCCUAAACACUCUUUAGGUCGUUUAGUCUAUUUGUCUUUUGUCUCAGUUUACCAAAAGUCAUCUCGCGGAAAGGAGGGGCUAGGGUCUGGUAAGUCGAAGGCUCCAGUGUGGGGGUUCCAGUCACGUGACAUCUCCUGCUGCCCUCCCUGGGGGCCACUCCUGGCUAAUGUAUUACCCGCUUCGCGGUGAGCUAUCACAUGUCUACCUGCAGUCCCCUCCCGCCCGUCGGCUGGCUCCCUGCACUGCCUGAAUUCCUCGUGGGGUCCUCCUCAUCCUUUCAGGCACACUUCACUUGGUGGCAGCUUCACUUGGGCCAAGUCAGUGCUGUUUCCUGGGUUCGUGGAUUGAAACUUAUUUCUUCAGAGAGCAAGCCAUCAACAAUGAGCAGGCUGGUGACCAAAGGAGGCCUUCUUUACUGUGGGGUGUCUUCUGAUGCAGCAGUGAGGGAGGGCAGAUCGUACCAACACCACCAUUUGUGAACAUGCGUCCUAUGAGGAGCCAUGAAGCUUGACGAUGCUUGUGCAGAUCAUUGAUUACCUCACUUCUCCUCUCCAGUCAUCUGUCUCCACACUUCAGACCGCCCUGCCCUUCAUCCUAUACAUUUUACCCCAAGCCCUGGAUCGGGGAGACAGAUCCGAGAGCUUAUACCUCCUGUCUCCUUGCAGAUCGAUCUCGCAAUAAAUCUGUAUUCUUUUCUCAAAAG
ensembl:lncRNA